rnacentral:rRNA from 1 species
GACGAACGCUGGCGGCGUGCUUAACACAUGCAAGUCGAACGGUGAAGCGCCUUCCUUUUUGGUGGGUGUGGAUGAGAGGCGAACGGGUGAGUAACACGUGAGUAACCUGCCCCCUUCUUCUGGAUAACCGCAUGAAAGUGUGGCUAAUACGGGAUAUUCUGGGUCUGUCGCAUGAUGGGUCUGGGAAAGAUAUUGUUUCGGUUGGGGAUGGGCUCGCGGCCUAUCAGCUUGUUGGUGGGGUGAUGGCCUACCAAGGCGGUGACGGGUAGCCGGCCUGAGAGGGUGGACGGUCACACGGGGACUGAGACACGGCCCAGACUCCUACGGGAGGCAGCAGUGGGGAAUAUUGCACAAUGGGCGCAAGCCUGAUGCAGCGACGCCGCGUGAGGGAUGGAGGCCUUCGGGUUGUGAACCUCUUUCGCCAGUGAAGCAGGCCUGCCUCGUUUGUGGGUGGGUUGACGGUAGCUGGAUAAGAAGCGCCGGCUAACUACGUG